UCCCUGAGUUCUCCAUCCAUUGCCAGCCUCUAUCUGCCUCAAUGAGAAAGCAAUGCAGAGAAGGGUGCAGGCUUCCUGGUAAGCCUUAAGGAUGCCUGGUUCCUGUGCCUGUCUUUGUCUAAUCUUAUUCUAUAUCUGGUGACAAAUCCUCUUUCAGUUUCUCCGUCUAGACAGGGAGGAGAAAGAACUUCGUACCGUCCUUCCUUGGUGAUAAUGCGGCAGGAAACCAGGGUCUUCGGGCAAAGGGUGCCUAAAGUGAAAUGUCCAACACAACCUCCCACCCAAAAUGACAGGGAGUUGGGCAUUUUUACAAGACAUGGUCUGCAGUGAUGCUGUUCAUUGCUGUAUUCCCAGCACUGGGCCUGACACACAGUGGUGGGAGGCCUCCAGGCGCCAGAGAGAACAGGAAGGGUCUUCCCCUGGCCCCACCCCGUGCCCUCCGAUAGCUCACCUAGGCCCUGGGCCACGAUUCGCACCAGACGCU